UACGUAGGAGGCAAGCGUUAUCCGGAAUGACUGGGCGUAAAGGGAGCGUAGGUGGUUUGAUAAGUUGGUAGCGUAAUUCCGAGGCUCAACCUCGGCGCUACUACCAAAACUGUCGGACUUGAGUGCAGGAGGGGCAAAUGGAAUUCCUAGUGUAGCGGUGGAAUGCGUAGAUAUUAGGAGGAACACCAGUGGCGAAGGCGGCCGCCUGGCCUGUUGCUGACGCUGAGGCACGAAAGCGUGGGGAGCAAAUAGG
rnacentral:rRNA from 1 species